AGACAAACCCACCAUGCAGCCUACUGCCAAGCUAGUGUUCACUGAUCCCAUCCCCAUCAGGCCUCAGCCCCAUCACAAUCAAAAAGAGUAGUACUAGGAGUAGUACUCCGACGAGACCUCCAACCCUACGAUCUUUAGCUUGACCCAUCUCAUAUGAUCAAAGGAUCAUCAUGCUAGAUCAACGGUUGUUCUUUGUUAAUAUAUAAUAUUAAUUGAAUUUUCCUCAAAAUUUCGAAGGGAAAAAGGGGAGGCGGAGAAUGACAUAGAGAUCCAAGCAGGAAAUGUGCAUGAAAGGGCAGAAAUAAAGCGCCUAGGAUAUAUCGGUGCCCAGAGUAGCAAAUAUCGCCAGAGAUCAACAACCCCAACGACAACGAGCCACACUUCACCCCAAAAAAAGAGUACGGGGAGUGAGAGGCAGACACAUACAACACAACAGCUGUGCAUCGUCAAUAUCUCUGAAUAUUCAGACAAAGAAAGAAAGAAAAAAAGAGAGAGAGAGAGAGGGAGAAAGAAUUAGUGUAGAGUUUAAAGGACGAUAUCUUCAAAACGUUCCUGCAUGCACUUUGGGCACACGAUGAAAACAUUUUUGCAUUAAUAACCAUCGUCACAAAAACGGAGAGUGGGGGGGGGGGGUACCUGGUGGUGUGUUUCUGUGAUGACACGGGACCGCCUGAUUCUUGAGAACUCUUUCUGUCAACUUUUGUCAUUUUGUUAAUUAUUUACAAAACUUAAACAUAUAAACACCUUUGUCUUUGCCGUUUCUUUUCCUUUAUUUCUCACUUCUUAUUAGCUGCGUCUUCCUUAUUCCAGGAAAGGGGUUUCUUCUUCUUUUACAUAUAUAUAUAUAUACACACACACACACACAUACACAUAUAAACUCCUUUUGGUUUUAGAAAAGAGAUAAAAAAAAAGAAAGAGAGAUGGAUGGUGAACGGAAUGUUUUGAAGGCUAAGGCUCCUUUUCAGUCCAGAAGACGCAUCGACGUCGAUGGCUUGCGUCCUCCAAACAACCAAGGAGAAAAAGAUGAUCUGUAUAUUAAACUAUGGCAUCUAUGCGCGGGUCCUUCUGUUUAUGUACCACGCGCUGGAGAAAAGGUGUUCUACUUCCCUCAAGGUCACUUGGAACAGAUCGAGGCAUAUAUGAAUGAAGAUGGGACAAUGGAAAUGCCCAUCUACAAUUUACCUUCCAAGAUCCUCUGCAGGGUGGUGCAUGUUCAGCUUAAGGCUGAACCUGGUACAGAUGAGGUCUUUGCACAAAUUGUUCUGCUUCCAGAGGCAGAGCAAGAUGAGCUAAGUGUGGAGCAUAGAAAUUAUCAAGCUUUACCUCGGAAAGCUUAUUCACGGUUUUUUAGUAAGAAACUCACUCCAUCUGAUACAAACGCACAUGGUGGAUUCUGUAUUCCAAAGCGACAUGCUGAUGAUGGGUGUCUUCCACCUCUGGACAUGGCUCAGCAAACCCCACAGCAGGAAUUGGUUGCAAUAGACUUGCAUGGUUUUGAGUGGCACUUUCGGCAUAUUUUUCGUGGUCAGCCAAAAAGGCACUUGCUUACCAGCGGUUGGAGUACAUUUGUGACUUCAAAGAAGCUUGUUUCUGGGGAUGCAUUUAUCUUUCUUAGAGGGGAAAAUGGAGAGCUUCGUGUGGGAGUUCGCCGAGCAAUGACAACACUGAACAAUACAUCAACAUCUGUCAUAUCUGGCCACAGCAUGAGACAUGGCAUACUUGCUAGUGCUCUCCAUGCCUUUUCUACCAGAAGCAUGUUUACUGUCUACUACCGUCCUUGGACAAGUUCUUCUGAAUUUAUCAUCCCACUUGAUCAGUAUAUGAAGUCAGCUCAACUUGACUACUGCAUUGGGACAAGAUUUAGGAUGCAAUUUGAAGGCAAAGAGUGUGGGGAAAAAAGAGCUCUCGGCACCAUCAUCAGCAUUGAAGAUGUUGAUCAUAUUAGGUGGCCCAAUUCUAAAUGGAGAUGUCUGAAGGUGAAAUGGGAUCCCACCUCAGUUGCAGUUUUGCAUCCUGAAAGACUUUGUCCUUGGAACAUUGAUGCAAUGGAAUUCACUAAUAAAAAAAAACCUAUCAUUCUAAAUUGCCCAAAGGCAGCUCGUACUGAUGAUGCAUCAUCUCCUGGCUUUUCUAGCCUGCUUAUGGAUGGCAUGUGGCAUGGUUCAGUUAAAUAUGAAUCUCAAAGUAGCUCGGGGGUUUUGCAAGGUCAAGAAGAUAGUGACACAGAUGCGAAUCGAUCCAGUGCACUAAGACAACCAUUACCACAUUUUCUCCCACUAAAUCCUAGUUGGGCCUCAAUACAACAACAGAUGGAGAACCAACUAGAGAUUCAGAUUCCGGUAUGCAAUUCAUUUUAUCAAUGUACCAGCAGCACAACACUCUUUUCUGGUGGAAAUGUAGCUAGUUUGGGCCUUCAUAAUAAGUGGCCCCCAACAUUCUCCUGUUAUGGAGUUCAUGACAAUGCUCUUGCUAGCAGAAAAGUUAGAGUUCCAAAUGUCAAUUCUAUGGAAUGGAGAACUUUGGAACGAAGGAAUGAAAGUAAAACUCCAUUGUGCCAACCAAAUGGUGGUCACAGUUACAUGCUUUUUGGAGUAAAUUUAGUUCAUGGUCCACCGGAGCUCCCUUCACCACAAGUUGUCACUUCUAGUGAGCUUGGAAGUCUUUGUUCUAUUCCUCCAACAUCUCAGUCAAGUGUUUCUGAACCUUCUAAGGGUAGAUCUAGCACGCAGUGCAAGAACUGCUGCUCUGUCAGCAAUCGGAGUUGCAACAAGGUGCUCAAGUAUGGAACUGCUCUUGGAAGAUCGGUUGAUCUCACUCGAUUUAAUGGAUAUGAAGACCUCAUAUGUGAGAUUGAUCACAUGUUUGAUUUUAAAGGAAGAUUGAUUGAUGGAAGCAGCGACUGGCACGUAACCUUCACCGAUGAUGAAGGGGACAUGAUGCUGAUUGGAGAUUACCCAUGGCAGAAAUUCCAGUACGAGGUCCGAAGGAUGCUCAUCUGCCCAAAGGAAGAAAUCAACAGACUAAAUCCAAGCUCACCAAAUUCAACAUCUCACUAAAAAAGACUUGUGCGGAAGUCUUUUAAAUCAUCAGUGUGGUCUUUUUAAUACAACGGAAGGAGAAUUGCCAACGCACACUCAAUGGUGGAUGAUAUUUGUCAUCGACAAGCUCCUGUCAACUAUCAACUAAACUGAGUAAUAAUCCCGUUUUCCCGUCACCGCUCAAUUUUCCAAUUUCCACCCUUGUGAAACAAUAAUAAGCGCCGAACACAAACAUUUGACAAAUAGAUAUUGUUAACCAAUCAAUGAAAUCAAUGUCUCUCCUCUGGAUCUGCAGCGGCGACUAUCUCAAAUUCCUAUUAUUUCGGUCGGUCAUUAACUCGUAAUCCCCCGUCAAUUCCAACCCGUAAGUUUCCUCUCAAAAGAACCCAAUGUUCGAAGUUCGAUCAUUAUUCUAAGAUCUCAGUCUUCUUCGGAGCUUCGAGGGAAUCAACAAGGACAAGAUCCAGAAACCCUAGUCCAGAACCUGAGAGAGUUGCGGACCACUGGCUACCACCUUCCAACGCCUUGGAGCUGUUUGUGUGAACUGUCCGACGGGGCUAAAAAUCUGAAAUCAUAAGUUCGGAGGUCAAUUAAAAGUAAAGGCUGAAAAUUUCUUGGACAUUUGUGCUUCCACGUCAAUGUUCCAAAAGAGAAAGAACAAGAGAAAUCCUAGGAAGUGAAGUAAAUUUAAUGCCGGGGUUAUUUAUACUUAUAGGAUUGGAACGCCGGGCCUGAGUGGCCCGAAUUCUGAAAGUCGAGUCCAGUUCAAAGCUGACAACGCUGGUCGGAUCUGACCUGGCAAGUGAAGGUCCAACUGAGGCUGACCAUGUUCAGACCAGGACUAGAAUUAUUCCUGGGUGUUACUCUGAAGCUGGUGUUUGAUGGUAUGUUCAAUGAGCCAAUCAAGGGAGGCAGACUGAAGGUGAAAAGAGAACAUUAAUGAGGACAUCAAUUAUGUUGGCUUAUUGCUAUAGAGUAACUAUGUGAACAUAAAAGUGAUCUAAAUACAAAAUUAAGGCUUUGUUUGGUUCACAGAAAGAUUGAGCUGGAAAUCUGAGAAUAAAGAAAUAUGUAAACACUCUCUUAUCAAACUUUUU